ensembl:lncRNA
CAUUGCUAGCCCACCCCAACACUUAGCACAAUAAUAAUGAUAAAUGCUGACCAAUACUUAAUUAUAUUACAUAUUUCCUUACUGAAAAUUAUAUAUGUUUUAGUUAUUUCGGCAAUAAAGCUUCAAGUUUGAGAGCCCAGUUUCCGAUCUCUGAUCAGGUAAUACCAACAGAGAUGACUUCACCUGUCCUGUGGACUUCUUUCAAUCCUGUCUCUCUGCAUUAUGUAAAGGAAGUUAUUCUUAAACUCAAACCCUCCUUUAGCUCACAUGACACCAUACAUCCGUACUAUCUGAGACAAAUAUUUGACACUGUCGGCCCAGGGCUGGUGUCACUAUUUAACAAAUCCUUGUUAGAAGGAGCUGUGCCAUCUAACUUGAAAAUUGCCACGGUUACACCUGUUUUAAAGAAACCCUCACUUGAUGCUUCUAUUUUAUCAAAUUUUCGUCCGAUUUCCAUUUUGCCAUUUAUUUCUAAGAUACUGGAAAAAAUUGUGUUUUUACAGCUCCAGACCUUCCUGACUGAUAAUCAGGUUCUUGAGAAGUUCCAGUCUGGGUUUAAAUCACUGCACAGCACAGAAACCGCUCUUGUAAAAGUUCUCAAUGAUAUUUAUAUGGCAACAGAUUCGGGGGACUCUGUCAUUUUAGUAAUGUUAGACCUGUCCUCUGCUUUUGAUACCAGCAAAAAUAACAGUUCUCUAGGCAACUUAACAGCAUGUCUUGAGGAUGUGAAAGCUUGGCUUGCCAAUAAUUUUCUUUUUCUGAACUCAGACAAAACAGAAGUCAUUGUUUUUAACUCCUCAGAAUCCAGGCCUAAUAAUUACCUUGACCUUGAAUCUCUAAAUCAGUUCAUCUCUCCCCAAGUACGGAAUCUAGGUGUGAUGGUAAAUAUGUGCCUCAAAUUUGACAAGCAGAUAAGCGCAGUCAUUGGGUCCAGCUUCUUCUCUCUUCGCUCUUUAACAAAAAUCAAAUCUUUUCUCCCUAAGCGCUCCAUGGAGACUGCUAUCCAUGCUCUUAUUACCUCUCGCCUGGACUAUUGCAAUUCCCUAUACUUUGGUAUAUCUAAGUCCCAAACGGCACACCUACAGGUCGUUCAAAACGCAGCGGUGAGAUUCCUGAAGGGGAAGAGGAAAGUUGAUCAUGCUACCCCCCUCCUAAGAUCCCUUCACUGGCUUCCGAUUAAUUUUAGAAUUGAUUUUAAAAUUUUAUUACUGGUUUUUAAAUCAUUAAAUGAUUUAGCACCUUCUUAUUUGUCUGAUCUACUUUAUCCCUACCUUCCCACUAGAGGCCUUAGAUCCAAAGAUAAGCUCCUCCUUCAGAUUCCCACAACCCGGCUAAAAUCGAGGGGUAACCGAGCCUUUGAAGUGGCCGGCCCAACACUGUGGAACAAGCUCCCACUCCAUAUUAGAUCUGCCUCCACUUUGUCUGAGUUCAAAUCAUGUCUCAAAACUUACUGUAUCUAUUCUCUGUUGCUUAUAGUGUGUUCUAUCAUAAAUUGUUUUGCUACUAUUUGUGUACUUUAUAAGUGUUUUGUUUUAAACUGUUUUGCUGACUUUAGAGUACUUAAUCUUUUAUUUUUCCUAACUUGUACAGCACUUUGGUCGGCCUGUGGCCGUUUUUAUUUGUGCUUUAUAAAUAAACUGAACUUGAACUAAAUUUUAUUUUAUAUUAUAUACAUUUAUUAUUUAUAUUAAAAAAAGUUUUUAAAAAAUUAUAAUUAUAUUUUAGGAACAUGCAACAAUAGGAUAAAAGGAGUAAAUUAAUUAAUAAAAG